rnacentral:rRNA from 1 species
CGGACGGGUGAGUAAUGCUUGGGAAUCUGGCUUAUGGAGGGGGAUAACUACGGGAAACUGUAGCUAAUACCGCGUAAUAUCUUCGGAUUAAAGGGUGGGACUUUCGGGCCACCUGCCAUAAGAUGAGCCCAAGUGGGAUUAGGUAGUUGGUGGGGUAAAGGCCUACCAAGCCGACGAUCUCUAGCUGGUCUGAGAGGAUGACCAGCCACACUGGAACUGAGACACGGUCCAGACUCCUACGGGAGGCAGCAGUGGGGAAUAUUGCACAAUGGGGGGAACCCUGAUGCAGCCAUGCCGCGUGAAUGAAGAAGGCCUUCGGGUUGUAAAGUUCUUUCGGUGAUGAGGAAGGUGUUUGUUUUAAUAGAACAAGCAAUUGACGUUAGUCACAGAAGAAGCACCGGCUAACUCCGUGCCAGCAGCCGCGGUAAUACGGAGGGUGCGAGCGUUAAUCGGAAUGACUGGGCGUAAAGGGCACGCAGGCGGUGACUUAAGUGAGAUGUGAAAGCCCCGAGCUUAACUUGGGAAUUGCAUUUCAUACUGGGUCGCUAGAGUAUUUUAGGGAGGGGUAGAAUUCCACGUGUAGCGGUGAAAUGCGUAGAGAUGUGGAGGAAUACCGAAGGCGAAGGCAGCCCCUUGGGAAUAUACUGACGCUCAUGUGCGAAAGCGUGGGGAGCAAACAGGAUUAGAUACCCUGGUAGUCCACGCUGUAAACGCUGUCGAUUUGGGGAUUGGGCUUAGAGCUUGGUGCCCGUAGCUAACGUGAUAAAUCGACCGCCUGGGGAGUACGGC